CAUUAGCCAACAGGAGGAGCAGGCAGCAAACCAGAAUGAUGCUGAGUUACUUAUUUCUCUGCUUUCUUUCUGCUGCCAGGAGCACUUCCUUCCUGCACUGGCAGCCAGCAUUCCUGUGAGGACCGCUUCUCCCACAACUACAGCUCUUACCAUGGUCUUCCAGAACCCUCCCCUGUUGAGAGUAACAGCUUUCUGCUGAGGCUGCCCUCAAGAUUUUGAGGACUCUCCUCAACUGCCACUUUCACACUGGCCAUGAGCUUCUGAUUGGAUCCUUACCAAGCCACCCCUUGGGCAUACACUAUCCAAAAAGACAGAACAAUCAAUACAGAGAGAUACACCAACUGUGGAAAACAGAGGUGCUGUGUUCCUGAAAUAUCCAGCUGAGUGGCCCAAAGUGGCAAGAAGAAGAAGAAGAAGAAGAAGAAGAAGAAGAAGAAGAAGAAGAAGAAGAAGAAGAAGAAGAAGAAGAGCUCAAUAGCCAAAUGGCUCAGCAGCAAAGAAUUCUUCCAGCAAAGAAUGUUCUUGAGCCUGAAAUUAAGGACACUUCUGUCUUGCUGGAUCUGUAGCCACAGAAUGACCUCAGUGAACACAUCUGCUUUGCCCAUGUAAUGCACAGCUAGUGUAAGAAGAUACUCAAUAAA
rnacentral:lncRNA from 1 species